GGGCGGGGCUGUGCAGUCCCUCGAAUUGCGCCAGAGACUCGCCUGGAGGAAGGUUCCCGUGCAGCGUCUGUGAGGCCGGGAUACGCUGUUUGCGAGCGCCCAUUACCGUGAAACUGACCAGACAUCCUGGGCAGGUUCUCCCUGGACAUAGGUGGAUUUAUACUAAUACAGUUUCACAGCAACCCUGUGGAGGAUAUGAGAGCAGAAGUUUCUAGAACAUACAGAUAACUGUAUGUCAGAACACAGACUUCCUGUUCAGUUAUCCACCUGGCUUCAGAUUUUUAGUUCCAUGACCGACAGAAAUGUUUAGCAAAAGAGAGCAGUUGUUCGCAAACUUUUGUACUGGUGACCCCUUUCACAUAACAAGCCUCUGAGUGUGAUGCCCCCAUAUCAAUUAAAAACACUUUUUUAUAUAUUUAUCACCAUUAUAAAUGCUGGAGACAAAGCGGGGUUUGGGGUGGAGGCUGACAGCUCGCGACCCCCCAGGUAUAACCUCGCAACCCCCUGAGGGGUUCCAACCACCAGUUUGAGAGCCCCUGAGUUAGAGGUUUCUGCUGCAGUGAUCAGCUAAUGAAGCAGAGGUUAUGGGUAGUCUAGAGCCUCCCAGGCAUCCCUUCUGCAACUACUUGUCAGAAACUUUUGCUGUGGAAGUGGUUGCCACCCCACCCUUACUGUGGGCUCCCAUAAUCUAUUUUUAUUGUAUUUUUAAUUUUAUAUAUUGCUCCUCUUGUAGAUGACAAAUAGAAACUUCCUAGGAAAACAGUCAGAAAAUCAGUCAUAAUAAUUCUGGCAAUGGUGCUUAUAAGGCAAUAAUUAACAUCCUUGACUCAAUCCAAUUUCUGUUUUGUUUUUUAUAUAUAUAAUAGGCCAACAAAUUUAAUUUAAUAUAAUUCUAAGUAGGCAGUAUUUUCUGUGUCUGUGAGAUAUUGUUACAGAUUCUUUUUGUGUUACUUGUCAGAAGAGCUCCCAUGAGAGCUGAGAAAUAAAAACCCUAGAUUUAAAGAGCCCCCUUCACUUCCAACUGAUUGGACAGACUGACAUAGCAUUUAACUGCAGUUAUUACUUUUCCUUAAAGUGAGGCAAUAAGGCUCUUGUACAAAGUUACAGUCAAUCUCUCCUCUCUUCCCUGCUACAAAAAAAGACUAAGGGUGAAAUCCUUUCCACAAGGUAGUCAAGGGGAGUUUUACUAUUGACUUCACGGGAGCCAGGAUUUCAAUUCAUGUCUGUUUAAUGACAACUCGACUUCUGUUAGCUAAGGGAGCAUUUGUUCUGCACUAUGUUUUCCUAACCACUGUAGUUUGUGGGCUUAGUGGUUCAUAGAGAGCUGGCUGCUGCUAUGGUGCUGGCUCCUCUUGUUUUCUUUCUUAAUAUUACUUUUGCAUGUGAUCAGUUACUGUAUUUUAUUGUGAGGGAAUAUGUGUAAAGAAGCCUAUGUGAUCAUGAAUGGGCAGGGAGGUGUCCUGUGAGACAAUCUCACUACUACAAUGUAUGGUUCAUUCUCUGAAAAAGUUUGAGAACCUCAGUUUGACACCACUAAACAUGUAUUUAAAUAUCAUUUAAAUUAACAUGAUUUUUGAGAAGUCCUUCCAAAAUAAAACCAGAAUCUUUCUUC